rnacentral:lncRNA from 1 species
GGAAAUAAUGAGAAGUUUUGGUAAACAAGUGCGUGCAAGAGAAUCAAUUAUGGUAUUACCGAGUAACAUGGAAAACUGUAUAUGAGCCCUAGUUAAUUCAAAGAAAAGCAACAAAGUAGAAGUUAAGGUGUCAUUUGACUUUAAUGUAAUGUGCGUAUGUAUAUGAGAUUGGACCAUGUAGAAUUGCACCUAAUUGACUGCUUUUUAUCUGCAAAAUGAUAAUUUUAUAUGGACAACCUAAGAUGUAUACAUAGAAACAGACUGAAAGAUUAUCCACCUAUAGUUUUCUGGGCGGAAGAAAUAGAAUAACUUUUACCCUUUUCCGUAUGUUCAUUAUUUACAAUGAACAUAUUUUAACCUGCAAUGAGAAAAAUGAUGCAGGGUUUUUAGAACGAAAGAAAGGCUUUCCCAUUCAAAUUAUGUUUCUCAAUGAUAAAAAUACACAAAGAAUACACAUGUAGCUCUCUUUGGAGGGGACGGGACCUCCUGUGAGAAACUUGGAGAAUUGUUUUUCUAUUGGCAAGGCCAUUUCUGUUACGGCAAUGGAUGUAGAGAGCUGCAGCCAAGGGACAUUGGGUAUUCUUUCCCAUUGGUGACUCCAUCUCCCCUGACGCUGUUUAACAUUCAGUUCAUCAGAUGAACUCCUCUUGUUCAGAUUCCUUACAUGUCAGAUUGCUGCCUGAUUAGGAUUUGGUUUUGCAGGGAAGACAUUUACAGGAAGGGAAUGAAUGUAUUGGUCUUUCUGACAUCUGUGCAACAGCUAUACUGCAAAUCGUAGACUACUACUUUGACAUUCUGGUUUUAUAUGUUGGUCUCAUGAGUGUGUUUAAUGAAGUCCAUCUCAUGAGAAAUGGAUUCCAUACUGUGUGUUGAGAAAACCAAGGCCAAGGGGGCUGAAGCCUGGUAUAGGGGACCAUGUAAAGUGUGGAUGACUUUCAGCUGGGCUUCUGGGGAGAAAGCCUGCUGCCCUUCCUCAUACAGCAUUCUACAUAGCACAACACAGUAGGAAGCUUAAGUCUUUUCCUAUUUGGACUCUGCCCCUUUCCAACUCUCAAGUUCUGCAAUUCUUUGACUUUUCUGUCUUCAGCCCUUGCUUCCUCUGCUUUUCUCACUGCUUUUGUCACCUAGCAGAAACAGUGGUGAGAGACUGCUACACAAGAGACAUUGUUUGCUGCUGGUAUUUAACUUUCUCCUGGAGUUUUCUGUGGAUGACAUUGAUUUAUGGUGCAAAGGGCCCUCUGCUUUGGAGCUGACCUGUAGAGAAACAGAGUCCCUCAGGCCUUCUGUGAGGCUGGGACCCCCUUGUUCCAGCGACAGGGAUUGGUAUUUAUGUGAGACUGUGGGAUAUCCCCCUAGAGCCAGGUGAUUCCUGCAGUGACAAUGUGAAGAAAAGUAGCAGAGGGCCGGGCGUGGUGGCUCACCCCUGUAAUCCCAGCACUUUGGGAGGCUAAGGCAGGCGGAUCACAAGGUCAGGAGUUGAAGACCAGC